GAUGAAGAACGUAGCGAAAUGCGAUACGUAAUGUGAAUUGCAGAAUUCAGUGAAUCAUCGAAUCUUUGAACGCAUAUUGCGCUCUUUGGUAUUCCGAAGAGCAUGCUUGUUUGAGUAUCAGUAAACACCUCAACCUCUUCUUGAUUUUUCAUAAGGAGGGUGGACUUGAGCUAUCCCAACAACCUUUACCGGUCGGCGGGCGGCUUGAAAUGCAGGUGCAGCUGGACUUUUAUCUGAGCUAAAAGCAUAUCUAUUUAGUCCUCGUCAAACAGGAUUAUUACUUUUGCUGCAGCUAACAUAAAGGAUAAUUGUCCUCUUUGCUGACUGAUGCAGGAUUUUACGACACUUUAUGUGUUGUUCAACUCGAUCUCAAAUCAAGUAAGACUACCCGCUGAACUUAAGCAUAUCAAUAAGCGGAGGA
rnacentral:misc_RNA from 1 species